rnacentral:piRNA from 1 species
UGAUGUAGACCCCAAGGGAGUAAGAG